UCCGUAGGCGGGCCAUUAAGUCAGGGGUGAAAGUCUGCGGCUCAACCGUAGAAUUGCCUUUGAUACUGGUGGUCUUGAGUUAUGGUGAAGUGGCUGGAAUAUGUAGUGUAGCGGUGAAAUGCAUAGAUAUUACAUAGAACACCGAUUGCGAAGGCAGGUCACUAACCAUAUACUGACGCUGAUGGACGAAAGAGUGGGGAGCGAACAGGAUUAGAUACCCUGGUAGUCC
rnacentral:rRNA from 1 species